GUGCACAUUUCAUUGGCCUGCUUCUCUUGUAUAUGUGAGCAGUGUUAUUUCUUAUGUGCUAUACAAAUAGUUGAAGGUUAAUUAGCAGUAUAACUAAAUAGUAAUGCUGCCAGUCUCCUUCAGACAAAU
ensembl:snoRNA SNORA19 small nucleolar RNA, H/ACA box 19